UACGGGGGGGGCAAGCGUUGUUCGGAAUUACUGGGCGUAAAGGGCUCGUAGGCGGCCAACUAAGUCAGACGUGAAAUCCCUCGGCUUAACCGGGGAACUGCGUCUGAUACUGGAUGGCUUGAGUUUGGGAGAGGGAUGCGGAAUUCCAGGUGUAGCGGUGAAAUGCGUAGAUAUCGUGAGGAAGACCAGUGGCGAAGGCGGAUCUCUGGACAGUUCCUGACGCUGAGGCGCGAAGGCCAGGGGAGCAAACGGG
rnacentral:rRNA from 1 species